rnacentral:lncRNA from 1 species
CGCCGCUGGACACCACCUCUACAAGUGCAGCCGUUGCCAAGCAAGCAUGACAUUUGCUGCAAAAGAACACCCACAGAGACGACUCUAAGAAAUUCAGUCACGGAUUUACAAUUCAGACAGCUAAUCAAAGUUUGCGCAUCGCCAAACAUGCGCGACAAUUGCUUCAAAGAAAUAGCCCAAUUUCUGUCAGCUACAGCGAUGACACUUAUAAAUUCAGUCAUGGAUUUUCGUCCCUUAAACACAGGUCUGCAAGUUGGUUACCUAUAAAGCAAGAGACUGAAUCACCAACACCAAGUAUAACAUUGCGAAUUCAGAUAGAUGGUAAUCUGUCCAUACAACCACACGUACAUACUCCCACUGUAGAGAGGGAGUACUUUCACUUAGUCUGCUUAGGUCUUGAAUUACAAAUUCAAUACAGGUCCAUAGUUUUUCACCCACAAUACCUUUAUCUUCUUUAGCCAAUCAAUUAUGUAGCCCAUCAAAUCAGAGUUCAUCAUCAUGCUAUCCCAGCCCACUUCAUCGUCUCCCCUGCAUAGCUCUUCCCGCAUCGUAUCCAAACAUCCCAGAGUCAGUAUCUCCAACAGCAACAAAAUGAUGCAGCAUAAGAUGCCAACAAGCAAGGUAUGUACCACAAAACGGGGAUCAAAAUCCGUCUCCAUCUCACAAGCCACCCCGCAGUACAUCCUCUUCUCUUUUGCACUUAGCACGUGCUGCAUGCAUCUCCAGACAUUUAACAUUAACUCACCACCAAGAGUUAACUCAUCCUUCAGGUCCUGACCAGAUGCCACUGCAAGUAUUGGAUGAAAGUGCCAGAACCAUUUCCUGUAAGGAAGACAGUAUUAUCACAAUGAUCAGAGAAACCCACCGAAGCAACGCAUGGUGAUCAGUUUCAAGUCUUUACUUUCGUAUGACGUUUUUGUCACAGCCCAGCAUGUUGAUGUAGAACCGGAGGACAUCGUAAUCAGAUGGGUCAACAAAAUGAACUGAAGAUGGGUCAAAAUGCAAUCAACACAAGUAUAUUCAGACCGCCAUGGAUCUCUAUGUUUUACAUCCGACAUCUCCUUCACGCAGCCUCGAGAGCAGACUCCUUGCUUGAUCGAAACCCC